GCCAUUUAGUGGUGCAAUGGCUCAGUGGGUCUGACUGUUAACCAGAAGGUUGGUGGUUCAAGCCCACCCAAGGACU